AUGCUUAGGGCUACACACGUGCUACAAUGGGUGGUACAAAGAGAAGCCAACUCGCGAGAGCGCGCCAAUCUCAAAAAGCCAUCCUCAGUUCGGAUUGGAGUCUGCAACUCGACUCCAUGAAGUUGGAAUCGCUAGUAAUCGCGGAUCAGCAUGCCCGCGGUCGAAUACGGUUCCCGGGCCUU
rnacentral:rRNA from 1 species